rnacentral:rRNA from 1 species
UACAGAGGGUGCGAGCGUUGUUCGGAAUUAUCGGGCGUAAAGGGCGCGUAGGCGGUGCGGUAAGUCACCUGUGAAAUCUCCUGGCUCAACUGGGAGCUUGCAGGCGAAACUGCCGUGCUGGAGUGUGGGAGAGGUGCGUGGAAUUCCUGGUGUAGCGGUGAAAUGCGUAGAUAUCAGGAGGAACACCUGUGGCGAAAGCGGCGCACUGGACCACAACUGACGCUGAGGCGCGAAAGCUAGGGGAGCAAACAGG